GUCCUACUUGGGAUGACUGUCAGCAGCUACAGAUUCUUUCACCACAGAGGAGAAGGAGAGGAUUCUGAGAGGAAAGAAAGAGCAUGCUGGGGGCCAAUUGACUACCCAUAAAACUUCUGAAUGAAAUGGAUGCAGCCUUCCCUCUGACAUGUCCUGACAGGACUGACCAUAUGGAGCAAUUUACAAUUUUCUGCUGGGCUCUGAUAAUAGGACUGAAAGGAGCUGGCAGGUGC
rnacentral:lncRNA from 1 species